CUUGGGCAUGGUGGUGCUUGCCUGUAAUCCCAGUGACCUGGGAGGCUGAGGCAGGAGGAUUGCAAGUUCAAAGCCAGCCUCAGCAACUUAGCAACUAAGCAACUUAGGGAGACUCUGUCUCUU
rnacentral:sRNA from 1 species